AGCACGAAGCAUUUUGAGUUCUUAGGUUGGGUUCAAGUCCUAUAAUUCUAGAAAUAAAGGGGUUAUAACCUUUAUUAUUUACACUAUCAAUGUAAAUCAUA